GCUUUUUCCAUCAAGGGAUUAAGAAGGCAAAUGUUAGGAACAACUAAGGCAGUAACUAAUCUGCCAAUCACGCUGAAGAGGGAAAAAAUCAAUUUUUCCUUCAGUUAAAAGAAAAGAAAGGUUUAAGGUUGAUUAGAAAAUUCUUCCAGGUUAAAGGUAAAUCCGUUCUUAUAUCUUUAUCAUGAUUUUUAGCUUUUAUAAUUUAUUUUGGGUAGU
rnacentral:lncRNA from 1 species